rfam:Emiliania huxleyi CCMP1516 EMIHTscaffold_118_Cont3732, whole genome shotgun sequence.
UCUUCCAUGAAUGAGCUUCACAUAUGUAACUCGGCUACGGCUCAAGUCCCUUGGAACAGGGUGUCGGAGAGGGUGAGAAUCCCGUACCGUGGCGGGUUGCGGCCUUACGAUGCGUCCUCGUCGAGUCGGGUUGCUUGGGAUUGCAGCUUGAAUUGGGUGGUAAAUUCCAUCUAAAGCUAAAUACUGGCGAGAGACCGAUAGCGAACAAGUACCGUGAGGGAAAGAUGCAAAGAACUUUGAAAAGAGAGUCAAAGAGUGCUUGAAAUCGGUAGGAGGAAACCCGGAUGGGCCCGGCUUCGGCGCGCCGACUCAGCCUGGGGUUCUCCCCAGGUGCACUUCUGCGCGCCGGGUCAGCCGCGCCUCGGCGCCGCGCCUCAACCCGGGAGCGGGGCUUUACGGCCAGCUCCCGUCCUGGCGCGGCCCGGGGCCCGGCUGACGGAACGGGCCCCUCCGACCCGUCUAGAAACACGGACCAAGGAGUCUGACACGUGUGCGAGUACCCGGGUGGCAAGCCCGCGUGCGGAAUGAAAGUGAAGGGCAUGCCCUGCCAACCGACCUUGACCUGCUGUGAGGGGUUUGAGUGGAGCACACCUGUCGGGACCCGAAAGAUGGUGAACUAUGCCUGGGUAGGGUGAAGCCAGAGGAAACUCUGGUGGAGGCUCGUAGCGAUACUGACGUGCAAAUCGUUCGUCGAAUCUGGGUAUAGGGGCGAAAGACUAAUCGAACCAUCUAGUAGCUGGUUCCCUCCGAAGUUUCCCUCAGGAUAGCUUGAACGCAACGGUUUUGUCAGGUAAAGCGAAUGAUUAGAGGCCUGUGGGCUGAAACAGCUUGCACCUAUUCUCAAACUUUAAAUGGGCAAGAGGCCCGGGAUGCUUGAGUGAUCCCGGGCGGCGAACGGCGCGUUCAAAGUGGGCCAUUUUUGGUAAGCAGAACUGGCGAUGCGGGAUGAACCGAACGCCGCGCUAAGGUACCCAAGUGUCCGCUCAUCAGAUACCACAAAAGGCGUUGGUACCUCCAGACAGCAGGACGGUGGCCAUGGAAGUCGGAACCCGCUAAGGAGUGUGUAACAACUCACCUGCCGAAGGUACUAGCCCUGAAAAUGGAUGGCGCUCAAGCGGACCACCGAUGCGCGGCCGCCGGCGCGAGCGCGAGGCGCCGGCGAGUAGGAGGGCGCGGGGCUCGCGGCGCAGCCUUGGGCGCGAGCCUGGGUGAAGCGGGCCCCGGUGCAGAUCUUGGUGGUAGUAGCAAAUAUUCAAAUGAGAACUUUGAAGACUGAAGUGGAGAAAGGUUCCGUGUGAACAGCAGUUGGACACGGGUGAGCCGACCCUAAGAGACAGGAAAACUCCGCCGAACGCGGCUGGUUCUGUCAGCCCGUCCGUCGAAAGGGAAUCGGGUUAAUAUUCCCGAGCCAGCGCGUGGAUGGUGGGCGGCGACGCGAACGAACCCGGAGACGCCGGCGGGAGCCCUGGGAAGAGUUCUCUUUUCUUCUUAACUGCCUCCUGCCCUGGAAUCGGUUUAGCCGGAGCGAGGGCUACACGGCAGGCAAAGCACCCUAAGUCUUGGGGUGUCCGGCGCGCUCCCGACGGCCCGUGAAAAUCCGGGGGAGCGGUUCGUUCUCACGCCUGGUCGUACUCAUAACCGCAUCAGGUCUCCAAGGUGAACAGCCUCUAGUCGAUAGAGCAAUGUAGGUAAGGGAAGUCGGCAAAAUGGUUCCGCAACCUCGGGAGAAGGAAUGGCUCUGAAGGCUGGGCGCAGGGGUCCUAGGCUCGAGGCCGGCUGGCUGCGCGGGGACUACGGCCUCACGGCUGCGGAUCCCGCGCGGCCGUCCGGCGGACGGCCUAGGAGCGCUCCGGCUCUCCCUGCGCGACGAACAGCCGCUUCAGAACUGGCGCGGACAAGGGGAAUCCGACUGUUUAAUUAAAACAAAGCAUUGCGAUGGCCCGCGAGGGUGCUGACGCAAUGUGAUUUCUGCCCAGUGCUCUGAAUGUCAAAGUGAAGAAAUUCAACCAAGCGCGGGUAAACGGCGGGAGUAACUAUGACUCUCUUAAGGUAGCCAAAUGCCUCGUCAUCCAAUUAGUGACGCGCAUGAAUGGAUUCGUGAGAUUCCCACUGUCCCUAUCUACUGUCUAGCGAAACCACAGCCAAGGGAACGGGCUUGGAAGAAUCAGCGGGGAAAGAAGACCCUGUUGAGCUUGACUCUAGUCUGUUACUGUGGAACGACUUGAUGGGUGUAGAAUAUGCGGGAGGGGCAACCCGACAGUGAAAUACCGCAACCGUCAACGUUGUUUUACUUACUCGGUGGCGCGGAGGGAGGCUCGCCUCACUUCUGGAUCCAAGCCGCUUCGUGCGCGCGAUCCGCGUCGGGGACACUAACAGGUGGGGAGUUUGGCUGGGGCGGCACGUCUGUUAAAAAAUAACGCAGGCGCCCGAUUUUGAGCUCAAUGAGAACAGAAAUCUCAUGUGGACCGAAAGGGGAAAAGCUCGGUUGAUUUUGAUUUUCAGUACGAAUACAAACCGCGAAAGCGUGGCCUAUCGAUCCUCUCGUCUUUGGGAAUUUCAAGCUAGAGGUGUCAGAAAAGUUACCACAGGGAUAACUGGCUUGUGGCUGCCAAGCGUUCAUAGCGACGUAGCUUUUUGAUCCUUCGAUGUCGGCUCUUCCUAUCACUGCCUCGCAGCGGGGGCCAAAUGCAGGAUUGUUCACCCACCAACAGGGAACGUGAGCUGGGUUUAGACCGUCGUGAGACAGGUUAGUUUUACCCUACUGCUGUCUGUUUUUCUACGGUAAUUUGGUUCAGUACGAGAGGAACCACCAAUUCGCAUCAUCGGUAUAGCCGCCGCCGGAAACGGCGAUGCGGCGAAGCUGCCAUGCGCCGGAUUAUAACUGAACGCCUCUAAGUUAGAAUCCAUGCCGGAAGGAAAGCCACCUACCGGCCCGGGGACGCCACGAGCAACGGUAGCACUGCCUGAGCCGCGAGCGACCACAAUUCACGGACCCGGGCCGACGAAUCCCUUGCAGACGACUUGAAUAAGGAACGGGGUAUUGUACGCGGCAGAGUGGCCUUGUUGCCACGAUCCGCUGAGAUUCAGCCUUGGUUCUGACGAUUUGU